UACGAACUGCGCGAACGUUAUUCGGAAUCACUGGGCUUACAGGGUGCGUAGGCGGCCGAUCAGGUCCGAUGUGAAAUCCCACAGCUCAACUGUGGAAUGGCAUUGGAAACCGACCGGCUCGAGUGAGCUAGAGAUGUACGGAACUUCCGGUGGAGCGGUGAAAUGUGUUGAGAUCGGAAGGAACACCAGAGGCGAAAGCGGUACAUUGGGGCUUGUCUGACGCUGAGGCACGAAAGCUAGGGGAGCGAACGGGAUUAGAUACCCCGGUAGUCCUAGCUGUAAACGAUCAGUACUAGACGGAGGGGGGCUUGCCCUUCUCGGUCGUAGCGAAAGCGAUAAGUACUGCGCCUGGGGAGUAUGGUCGCAAGGCUGAA
rnacentral:rRNA from 1 species